UACGUAGGGGCGAGCGUUGUCCGGAGUACUGGGCGUAAAGGGCAUGCAGGCGGUCGGACGCGUUUCGGGUGACAGCGGGUGGCUUAACUACCCGAGUGGUCGAAAGACGGUUUGACUUGAGGACGCGAGAGGGACACGGAAUUCCGGGUGGAGUGGUGAAGUGCGUAGAGAUCCGGAGGAACACCGAAGGCGAAGGCAGUGUCCUGGCGCGUAACUGACGCUGAGGUGCGAAAGCCAGGGAGCGAACGGG
rnacentral:rRNA from 1 species